CGGGGACGCCGGUGGCGAGUCGAGGCAGCGGCGGAGCAGCCUCGAGACGGCGGCGACGAGGUCGUCCUCCGCCGCGGCGCCCCCCGCGCGCGGCGCGGCGGAGCGCGCGAACGCAACGUGCCGGUCGAGCGCCUCCGCCGUGGUGAUGGUGGCCUUCCCGGCGCCGGCGCGGCGGAUCUCGUCGCCCACGGCCUCCGCGCAGAGGCCGCACACCCACCGCCCCAUGUACUCCUCCCGCACCGCCGCGAUGUACCGCGGCGUGCACUCCUCCGUGAAGCCGCAGCACUCGCACCUGGCUGCCUCCACCUCCAUGUCGACGACGACGACGACGGCUACUCCUCUCUCCUUACCGCUCCUUCUCCCAGACGGCGUAGGCGGGGACGGUGGCGGCGCUCGGCGCCGUGUGGCGCUCUCCCUCCUCGCUCCGGACGGUGGCUACGGCUGCGGCUGCGGCGGCGAUGACGGUGUCGGCGGCGGGUGAGGCCGGUGUCAUCGCAGGCGACGUCUCGCUCUCUCCUCUUCUCUUGCACCGCCGCUAAUCUUUCACUG
rnacentral:misc_RNA from 1 species